ensembl:lincRNA linc-121 ncRNA
AUAAAUUUGAAAAGUUGGUCACAAAAAAUGUAGAUUUUUAAAAUCACUCAAUUUUCGUUACCUGUGAACAUAUAUUAUCUCUUUAACUUUUUGUUUUCCAUUAUUUUACACUAUAUUUCAUGAAAUGAUGGAUUUUUAUAAGAAACGUUGUCUACCAUGGAUGCACUUUAAAGCGAACAAUUUAACCAAAACUCAAUCUUCAAUUGUGGAUCCGAAAAUUCUGAACUACGUGUACACUUUCCCCGCAUCGGCCGAUUUGAAUAAUUGAUUUGAAUAAUAAAAACGCUACUUUUGAAGAAUCCCUCUCAUACCGCCUAAUAAUAAUCAACAUAUAUUCUAAUAUUAUCAGGUACAACAUUGGACAGUUACUGUGCUCAAUAAACUAUUCCUGAAAAUGCUAAUUUUUGUUAUAUGAUAAGUUGAAGUUUUUUGAUCUACUGAACUUUUGUAUAUAAUUGCAACAAAAUUGCGAUAUAAAUUAUUUUUUAAGCAAAAAAAAAAUUGAACAUUAAAACAUUGGAAAUCAGUUCUAAAAUUUAUAGCUAAAAGGAUUUUCAGUAUCAAAGGAUCAUCAGAAAUAGCACAGUUUAAAAUCGUAUCGGUGUAUAUUUUUAAAAGUUUAGAGUUUUAUUUUUCAUGACUGGCUCACUGAACUUAAAAAUGACAUUUAAGUACCAAAUGUGAUGAUAUCUUUUCCCGGUUUUUUUUUCAAAAACCGAGCACAACGCUUUUAAUUAUUUGCAAUUUUUUCAAUUCCUCUGGAAAUAUUUUCAGAAUAAUUGGUUUCCGGUAAGUUGAAAAAAAACCAUGAAACAGGUUGAUUUUAUUGGAAACUGUAACUUCUUUCAGUACUUAAUGUAAGCAAAUAAUCGAAACUAAAACUGAAAAUUACAGAAUUUCAAAGUAAAUUCUGUGGUUUUCACUUGAAAACAGUAGGUUUACCAAUUAAAACUGGGGCAUCUCAAAGAAAAAAAUUUUUUUUUGAAGAUCCAAAAUAAUUUCUAUAAACUUUUCUUUGCACACAUGAGCAUCACAUCUGUCCGUGCCUGUGUCACAGCCUACCUACGCGCCUCCAUCAUGCCUGCUAAUCAAUGUGCCUACCUGCUUUCUUCUGCCCUGCGUGAUUAAAUUUGAAGAUCGAAGAGAACAGACGUCAGUCUGUCAUAUCUUUAAUCUCAAUUUCUUGGUGACGUGUUAACCAUAACUUUUAGCUGAAUGCUUUCAACUUAUGAUAAUACUUUAUUUAGCUCCAAGAAUCCUUUUCAAACCUAAUUCCUAUUGUGAUUAAUAUGAUUUCUGAUAAAACAAACAAGUUUUGUCUAUGCUUUUUCUCAGUUACCUUAACCAGCAAAAUAUGCAUAUCACCUAGAAAAGUAUAAAACCUCUAGACCAGAAUGAAAUUUUCCCGUUGUUCCGAUUUCCUGUCUUUACGAAAUUGUAUCGCUAUUUUUCUAAUUUCUUUUAUUCAUUUUUUUCUAAUUUAACGUGUUUUAACAAACUAUUUCUUUUCGAGAAGAUACUUCCCGAAAAUUAUAAGAAAAAAAUGGUGCUCUACCGUACUCCUCAAAGGUACACACUCUUUAGUGCGAAAAAUUUUGUUGGUUUUCUUCGCAACAGUGUUACUUCUAACUAGUUAUCCAACUUUUCAAUUUGUAGCACAACAAUUUUUCUUCCGGUUCAGACGCGAAUCAUUUAAACUUAGAAAAAUCUAAAUUACUGUUUCAAGAAAAUGCCAAAAGAACAGGAACAAAUUGUGAUGUUAAUUGUACGGAUUGACUUCGAAAUAGAUUUUACCGAUUAUACUUUCUAGUAGCUUACAAGUAUUUUUCAGAUACCAGGUGCAUGGCGUGUGCAGCUACCAUGUCUCUAUUUUCCAAUCGGUCAUCAGUAUCGGAUUCUUUUUGAUAAAAACCAACUUUUCAGAACAUUUCUAACAUUUUUUCCCAAAAAACCAUAACAACGAGUGCGAUCAUAAUUUUUUAAAGCCAUUAAGUACAGCUGUCUUGAAACUGAUUAAUUGUUUUGCUUUAACCUUGUUCUUUUGUUUCAAAAUUUGUUAAAAGACUAUACGGAUAUUUCAGAAAUACUCAUCGAUCUAGCAGCCUUCGACUUCUGUCCUUUUGCCAUCCGUUUUACCAUUACAAAAUACACAGAGAAGAGAAUAAACAUGAUGCAAAACCCGAAUUGUUCCACGCAUGAAUAGAGUUUUCGUACUGAAACAUUUUUAAUAAAUGAAAUAGUUCUUG